rnacentral:rRNA from 1 species
GGAUUCCCCUAGUAACUGCGAGUGAAGAGGGAAAAGCUCAAAUUUAAAAUCUGGCAGCUUCGCUGUCCGAGUUGUAAUUUAGAGAAGUGUUACCCGUACUGGACCGUGUACAAGUCUCCUGGAACGGAGCGUCAUAGAGGGUGAGAAUCCCGUCUUUGACACGGACUCCCAGUGCAUUGUGGUACGCUCUCAAAGAGUCGUGUUGUUUGGGAAUGCAGCACUAAAUGGGUGGUAAAUUCCAUCUAAAGCUAAAUAUUGGCGAGAGACCGAUAGCAAACAAGUACCGUGAGGGAAAGAUGAAAAGAACUUUGGAAAGAGAGUUAAACAGUACGUGAAAUUGUUGAAAGGGAAACGCUUAAAGUCCAGUCGCGUUGGUUGGAAAUCAGUCUUGCUUCUGCUUGAUGUACUUUCUAACUGACGGGUCAGCAUCAGUUUUGACCGUUGGAUAAAGGUUGGAGGAAUGUGGCAUCUUCGGGUGUGUUAUAGCCUUCAAUUGUAUACAACGGUUGGGACUGAGGAACUCAGCACGCCGCAAGGCCGGGUCUUGUACCACGUUCGUGCUUAGGAUGCUGGCAUAAUGGCUUUAAUCGACCCGUCUUGA